UACGUAGGAGGCAAGCGUUGUCCGGAGUUACUGGGCGUAAAGGGUGCGCAGGCGGCCCUGCGCGUCGCGAGUGAAAUCUCCCGGCUCAACUGGGAGGGUGGUCGCGAGACGGCAGGGCUUGAGGCUCGGUGAGGGGCGUGGAAUUCCGGGUGGAGCGGUGAAAUGCGUAGAGAUCCGGAGGAACACCAACGGCGUAGGCAGCGCCCUAGACGAGACCUGACGCUCAGGCACGAAAGCGCGGGGAGCGAACAGG
rnacentral:rRNA from 1 species